AAUGUAUAUUCCACUUACAUGUCUUUUCCUAGGAGGAACUUUUCACUUUCCGAUUUCAGUAUUCAUACUGAAGCCUCUGCAGACACCUAAGUCCCAGGAUUCAUCAGAUUCCCAGAUUCUAUGGAUCUUCAUCUUCUUAUCAAUCAUUUGCAAAUACGGUCAAUUCUAAGAAAUUCAUUAACAUAGCAUACUGCUCUACUUUUAAAUCAGUAUUUAUCACCAUCAGACAAGAUCCUGAUCUUGACUCAGUAACUACCCUGAACUGUUCUUAAAUAUUACUGAAAGUAGCUCCAUUAUUGGUUUCUUCUUCUGUGAGAAAAAAGCCAGAGGAAGGGAUGGGGAGAGAAAGAAGUGAAGAGAAAAAGAAAAGGAGAAGAAGAGAAGGAAGACAGAGGAAUAAAGAGAUCGAAUGAUUUCAGAUUUGGAGGAUUUAACAUACACAUGCUUCUAAGACACAUGAUGGGGUAAAUUUCUUUCUUUCUUUUUUUUAAAGUAAGCUCUAGGUCCAACAUGGGGCUUAAACUCAGAGUUGCAUGCUCUACUGACUGAGCCAGAUGCCCCAUGGGGUAAAUUUAUUAAACAUGAUCAUGUGAAAUGCCCCAAGUUUACCAAGA